rnacentral:rRNA from 1 species
GGGGAAUUUUGGACAAUGGGGGCAACCCUGAUCCAGCCAUGCCGCGUGUGUGAAGAAGGCCUUCGGGUUGUAAAGCUCUUUUACCCGGGAUGAUAAUGACAGUACCGGGAGAAUAAGCCCCGGCUAACUCCGUGCCAGCAGCCGCGGUAAUACGGAGGGGGCUAGCGUUGUUCGGAAUUACUGGGCGUAAAGCGCACGUAGGCGGCUUUGUAAGUUAGAGGUGAAAGCCCGGAGCUUAACUCCGGAACUGCCUUUAAGACUGCAUCGCUUGAAUCAUGGAGAGGUCAGUGGAAUUCCGAGUGUAGAGGUGAAAUUCGUAGAUAUUCGGAAGAACACCAGUGGCGAAGGCGACUGACUGGACAUGUAUUGACGCUGAGGUGCGAAAGCGUGGGGAGCAAA